GGUGGCUCCGGCAGACCCGUGGCUACGCCCCUGCCGUGACCCAAAUCUCGUUCGCACAUCAUCGCGAUAUGUAUCAUCUGUUUACAAACGUCGCCACUCGUUUCUUCACAUACAUCUCAUGCUCCUCCAUCUACACGCUCCACAACAUUUAAACCAACGGCUCUUUUAAGAGCCAUCACUUGCAAAAGCUCUCGUACUCGCUCUCCUACUCACUCACUCACUCUCCAACUCACUCUCCUACUAACGCACUCACUCUCCAACUCACUCACUCUUCUAUAGGGCUGUGCAAAAUAAUCGUCUGCGAUUCUCAUGCGUGUUUCAUCAGUAAAGCCGGUUCCGUGAUUAGAAGUAAAUCGCCAUCAGCUGCUUUCAGAUGGAGCGGCAUUUAUUACACAGACCCGUAGUUCACAGAGAACCCUACUCUCCUACGUAUACACACACACUCACUCACUCACUCUCUCUCACUCUCCCCCCUCUCUCUGUUUGUCCCUCUUUCAAUUUGUUUUGCCUAUUUCUCUUUGCAUUCUUUCUUUUCUUCAAUAUGGCAUCUUCAGGUUUUGACCAGUUAUGCCAGGAAGCUGCAACUAUUUCAAAGCAUCUUGACAUGAAAGCUGACAAUGCUGAACUUGGAGCAGCUACCAGAGAGGCUGAAGAAAUUCUACAAAUGUUCAAUCCUCCACUGCUGAAAAAGAUGACCAAAUGAGCGAUUUCCUGGACUCAACAGACACAGUGAACUUUGCACUGCAUUUCAAAGCCAGCUCCUCAGCCGCAACACAGAGAACCAGAGUUGAGGUCAAUGUACUGCUGAGAAAAGUGCAAGAUCUGUUUAACCAAAAUUAUAAGGAUGCCGGAGGUACUGGAAGGCUCCCCUGGUAAAUCAAGGCAUAACAGUUAAAGUUGCAGGACUGCCCAACAGCCUUACUUUCAAAAAGCCAUCCUAUUGUGGAAGGAAGCAAUUGGAGGCCAUUUUGCAAGCUGCUGAGGAGAUUUCAUUUGAAAUCAAUGCAGCACAAUGCAACUCCACUGACAAAGCAGAAGGAAUGUCAGAGGCAAUGGACGCAGAAGGUACAGAGCUGGAAGAAAAGUCCUCAGAAACAGCCACUACUGUAGCUAUCGUGAUGACUGCAGAUUAAGAUGGAGGCCAUUUGUGCUGUAACUGCCACGUCCUUUCGAUGACAGGAAGAAGAAUGCUUCAGAGAAGUGGCGUUCAUGGUCACAGUGCACAGUGUGCCAAUCAUGUUCACACACUGCAUGUCAAGACACCAUGCAAACAGCCUGUAGCACUGCAGCAGUGAUAGGAAACAUGCUAGUUACACAAGAUGUUUUAUGUUUUAACUUUGAGUUGUUUUUACUUUGUUCAUGACCCCAUCCCUACACACACACACACACACACAUUUUUUUUAUUUUUAUGUAUUAGGUGCCAUUUAAUCUUUU